UGCCAGCUAGUGGCAAGCCCCAUUCUCUGACCUUCAGACAGGCUUUAUUUGUGCAAGCGAGAUAUCACCAUAGCGCAGAACGGACAACAAUUUGCCUGCAGCGUUAAGUGGCUACAUCCUACAGUUGAGUGACUGUUCAAGUGGACCCUGUAACCCAUCAUUAGAGUCCAGGUCACUAAACCCAAGCUCCAGUGUAAGACUGACAACUGAAAACACAGAAAUCAACUAACGUAAGAAAUAAUGCAUACAUGUAGAAAUCUGAAGGUAAAGGUGGAAAGAACGUCAUAAUUCUCAGACAUUUCAUCUUCUUUAGCCUUAAGUCUUUUUAAUUCAUGCCUUCAAAUAAAGGACUUCAUAUACAAGUAUGUUUCCCCCUUUGACGGUCUGCUGAAUUCAAAACCUACACAGAGUAUUCAAUGGUAAGUGUAUUUUGAAU